rnacentral:rRNA from 1 species
GACGAACGCUGGCGGCGUGCUUAACACAUGCAAGUCGAGCGGUAAGGCCCUUCGGGGUACACGAGCGACGAACGGGUGAGUAACACGGGGGUGACCUGCCCCCCACUUCGGGAUAAGCCUGGGAAACUGGGUCUAAUACCGGAUAGGACCUUCUGGUGCAUGCUGGUUGGUGGAAAGUUUUUCGGUGGGGGAUGGGCGCGCGGCCUAUCAGCUUGUUGGUGGGGUGAUGGCCUACCAAGGCGACGACGGAUAGCCGGCCUGAGAGGGUGAGCGGCCACACUGGGACUGAGACACGGCCCAGACUCCUACGGGAGGCAGCAGUGGGGAAUCUUGCGCAAUGGGCGGAAGCCUGACGCAGCAACGCCGCGUGAGGGAUGACAGCCUUCGGGUUGUAAACCUCUUUCGCGAUCGACGAAGGCCCGUCUUUUGGGCGGGUUGACGGUAGGUCGAGAAGAAGCACCGGCCAACUACGUGCCAGCCGCCGCAGUAA